UAAUUGAAUAGAUCUAUCGUGAUCAACUUUCAUGUUUGCCGUGGCUUGUUUUAAACGCCCUCUAGCAAAACUAUGUAUUCGUUCUAUUUUAUUUUGUAAGUCAAAAGCAUAGUCUGACUUUAUUUUUAAAUUUGUAGGUUCCACUGAUCCGAGAAUGAGAUCUACUGGAAGACGGAUGUUGCGGCCGAAGACCAUUUCACAUGGAGAAACGCCCAGUGAUUCGUGUUCUGCAGAACGAUACGCUGACAUGAGGAAGAGGAAGAUAAUGGAUUUUUGUUUAAUUGGUCUAUUGGAGCACUUGUGCAAGCCAAAACAUUAAGGUUUUCAUUGGAGGUUUGCUUGUUGGAGCCUCUGGAAGACUUUUUCUAAAUUGGAUAAGUGCUCGUCAAAGGAUUUUGCAAAGAUAAUGAUAUCAUCCAGGGGGACGCGACGAGGAUGCUGACGAAUUGGUGGAGCACAACCAGUAUUAAUCCAAUGCUCAGCUUCAUUGGUGAUGCCUAUAUCAGAUGAAUCUUUGGAAAAGGAGCUACGUGAUGAUUGCUGCAAUGGUUGUCCCUUAUUUAGGGUAUUUAUCAAGUGUUUGGUAGUUUUAUCCAAUGAUGUGAUUGAACCAUUCAAGAUUUUUCCGUUGAUCCAAAACGAAUACUUAGGAGGGUUGUGAGGGUAUGGAAAUCCGUUCUCUGGAUAGUAUUUAAUUCUGACAAGAUUGUCCUGGCGUUUCCAGACAAACUACUGGCUAGUUCCUGAGACAUCACCAUCAACUGAUUCUACCGAGGGCAUAUCCGGAUCAGUGUCUGGGAUAAUUUCGAACUCUGGGGACAAGGCUUUGGUGGCCAUUUUUAUAGAUGUAUUUAGAAUCUAUUACUAUUAUUAAUAUUAAUAAAGGAACCUAAUUUAUUUA